rnacentral:rRNA from 1 species
AGAACGAACGUUAGCGGCGCGCCUAAGACAUGCAAGUCGAGCGAGAAAGGGCUUCGGCCCCAGUAAAGCGGCGCACGGGUGAGUAACACGUAGGUCAUCAACCCUCGAGUGGUGGACAACUCUCCGAAAGGAGAGCUAAUACAGCAUAACGCCAGCAAUGGCCAAAGCGGGCCUCUCCAUGGAAGCUCGCGCUUGAGGAUGAGCCUGCGGCCCAUCAGCUAGUUGGUCGGGGUAAUGGCCCACCAAGGCGUAGACGGGUAGCUGGUCUGAGAGGAUGAACAGCCACACUGGAACUGAGAUACAGUCCAGACUCCUACGGGAGGCAGCAGUCGGGAAUCUUCCGCAAUGGGCGAAAGCCUGACGGAGCGACGCCGCGUGAGCGAUGAAGGCCUUCGGUUGAAGCUCUGUGGGAGGGAAGGAAUAAGGGACAGGCAAAAGUACCCUAGUCUGAUGACGGUACCUCCUUAGCAAGCACCGGCUAACUCUGUCGACC